CAGGGGUGAUGAUGAUGCCCUGGAAGGGUGGGGGGCAGCAGGGCUUGCCCUGGAUUCCUACCUGGAAGACUCAACAUGCAGGACAUCUGGCAGAUGCUUGGACUCCACUAUGCACCCAAAAACUGGGCAAGAGCAUCAGCACCGGUGGCAGGUGGGGAAGCCUGUGGGGGAGUUUUGGGAUGCAUUCCUUCUCACAGCAUCCCAUUGCUGCCUGGACACCUCGGUGUGGCUCCAGAUGGGUCAAGUCCAUCAGGUGGGGGCUCUCUUCUCCCACGGAUUGGGGUCCCUGUGUGGUCUCCGACCCGGCUUUGUCAGGACAGGCAGCAGGAAGGCUCUGCAGCCACAUCCUAAACUGCACCGGGAGAUGGAGAGAUAACGGUGCCUCCAGGCCCUCGGUAAAUUAUCUUGCCUGUAUGUUCAUUAAUCAACAAUUCUUAUGUAAACAGACACAUCCCCAGCCCUCUGCUUCCCAUCACCCUGGCAACCCUCUGCUCAGGAUGUGCUCUGGGCUCCCACCUGCUCUGCAACUCCUUCCCUGUCUGCAACUUUUUUUCCUGCUGCCUUUGCUUCCACACCUUUUCAUCCCCCGGGACUUGAAAAAGUCUUCAGGUGCCUCUUGCCCAGCGUUGGAUCCUGGACCUCCCCAUCAUUAGAUCCUGAACCUCCCCAUCCUGGGAUCCUGGAUCUCCCCCUCUCCAGCAGCUGCUGGGGCAGGAGCUGGGAAGCAGUGGGGUGAUGAGGACUGGACUUCCCUGCCAUCCUCCCUGGCCAGUGCCAGGCCAUGUCCCGGAGAACACAGCCCUUAGGGGGGAGUGCUGGAUGCAGGAAUCAUGGCAAGGGCCAGCCAGACCCACGGCAAUGCUGCCAAAACCUCAGCUGGGCUCACGCUGUGCUGUGGGUCCAGCAGUGACCACGACGUGCAUCUCUGACCCCCCCCCCGACAUCCAUCACCUUUCCCUGCCUUAUUCCUGUCCAGAUGGUCUCUCUGGGAAGCUCUCACAGUGCAAUGGGAGGAUAUCCCAUCCUGCUGACUCCAUCAGGACCCUCUACCAGGACAAGGAGAAGUCCUGGAGCUCUCUCCGGAUCCAGGCAGGAGCUGCCAGAGGAAUGUGCUUCAGGCAGGGCACUGCUGCCUCCCGGGGCUGCCCCCCAGCAGGACAGCUCUGCUGUGGAAUAGAAAAGCUCUGCAUGGAAGCUGAUAGAAGCCAGAGGAGCCCAAGUCAUUUAAGGUUGAAGAGAAAUGUUAAAGACAGCAGGAAAAGCAAACAUUAGUGGUAGCCAUGAGGCUAAGGGGAAUAGGAAGGGCUUUUACAAAUAUAUCAAGGGGAAAAGGAAAUACUGGAGAGUCAAGACAAAGUGGGCCCAUUAAUAAAUGAGGAAGGAUAUUAAAUUAAUGAUGAUUCUCAAAUGGCUGAGUUAGUGAACUACUUAUUGAGAUCUGCCUUUAACAAGAACAACAAGGGAAAGUGGCUGAGACAAUCAGAAAGCAGCGAAGGAUGCUGGAAUUGUCCUAGAUGGAGCAAGGGGAAGGGGACAGCUGGGCUAUGAGCCCCGGAUGGCAAGUGCCUGGGGUCAAGCAGCACUAGGAAAAGCCCACCCCAUCCAUCUCUUCCUCGGCAGGAGCAGAGGGAAUGUGUGCUUGGAGCAGACCAGUGCUUGGCAAAAGGCCCAGAGUAAAUAAGGGGUCUGUGGGGACCACGUCCCCUUGCCUUGGAGUGGGACAGGACCACGGCAGAGCUGGAAGGGAGACUCCCAGGAGCCCCAGGCACAGCCUGUGCUGCACAGAUCCGGGCUUGGAGACUGCCAGGGAAGAGCCUGGAUGGAAACGGGGAGGGGGAAGAGGUCCAGACAGCUGGACCUGGUUCAUUAGAGUUUGUCCUUGUACAGUAAGAUCCUCCAAGAUGCCCUGGUGCUGUUUAUCCUCCCAUUUCAUUGGCACUGAACAAACAAGUGACUGCCCAGCCCAAGGUCGCUCCUGUGCCCAGAGGAAAAGCUCUGGGAAGAGAAUUUUCUGUCCUUCUAGGAAGCCUGAGAAAUCCCCAAAGAUCCCUCUGCUGCCACAGCCUGAGGGAUGGCUGGGAACGGUGUCCCACAGGAGCUGCACGGUGGCAGUGCCCACCCUCAGCCAGCCGGGAGCAGGCGUCCCGUGGAUGUGCCAUCUGACAAAGGGCUCUGUGGGGGACAAUGUCCGGGCAGUGAGGGCCCUUGUCAAUGUUUUAUGGGCCCAGGCAUCCCCAGGGUGUGUUUACGGGGCAGUAAAUUAAAGCACUCAGCCAAGUGACAUUUGUGUUCUGCAAAUGCGAUUAUUAUGCAUGAUUAGCAGCCAAGUGCACUGAAAAACCCACACUCAGGGCGGGCACGAGCGGGACGCCCGCCUGGCCCGCGGCUCCUCAUGCCAGAGAUGCACCCCGGGCAGGCACCUUUUCCCUGGAAAAGCCUUUCUGUGGGACAACAGCGAGCCUGGCAUGGGCAGAGACCCUGGAACCACCACCUUACCCCUCAGCUGGCUGCUCCCCCCCUCCCCAAUCCCAGCCUGCCGGAGAUGGACCGUGCCAGCCGAGGACUUAAAAGAUUUCCUUCCCAGCUGCCAGCCCGACUUUCCAGAGGAAUGCAUCCAAACCCACUUUUAUUUUUAAUUAUUUAUCUGUAACCAGUUUGGCAGGAAAACCAAUUAAACGAGUGGGUGAUUAAUGA